UUACCAGACUCCUACGGGAGGCAGCAGUGAGGAAUAUUGGUCAAUGGGCUUACGCCUGAACCAGCCAAGUCGCGUGAGGGAAGACUGCCCUAUGGGUUGUAAACCUCUUUUGUCAGGGAGCAACGCCGGCUACGUGUAGCCGGACUGAGAGUACCUGAAGAAAAAGCAUCGGCUAACUCCGUGCCAGCAGCCGCGGUAAUACGGAGGAUGCGAGCGUUAUCCGGAUUUAUUGGGUUUAAAGGGUGCGUAGGCGGAAUGCCAAGUCAGGGGUAAAAUCGCGGGGCUCAACCUCGCUCCGCCGUUGAAACUGGCGUCCUUGAGUGGGCGAGAAGUAUGCGGAAUGCGUGGUGUAGCGGUGAAAUGCAUAGAUAUCACGCAGAACUCCGAUUGCGAAGGCAGCAUGCCGGCUCCACACUGACGCUGAGGCACGAAAGCGUGGGUAUCGAACAGGAUUAGAUACCCGGGUA
rnacentral:rRNA from 1 species